rnacentral:rRNA from 1 species
AUUGAACGCUGGCGGCAUGCCUUACACAUGCAAGUCGAACGGCAGCACGGGUGCUUGCACCUGGUGGCGAGUGGCGAACGGGUGAGUAAUACAUCGGAACAUGUCCUGUAGUGGGGGAUAGCCCGGCGAAAGCCGGAUUAAUACCGCAUACGAUCUACGGAUGAAAGCGGGGGACCUUCUGGCCUCGCGCUAUAGGGUUGGCCGAUGGCUGAUUAGCUAGUUGGUGGGGUAAAGGCCUACCAAGGCGACGAUCAGUAGCUGGUCUGAGAGGAUGAUCAGCCACACUGGAACUGAGACACGGUCCAGACUCCUACGGGAGGCAGCAGUGGGGAAUUUUGGACAAUGGGCGAAAGCCUGAUCCAGCAAUGCCGCGUGUGUGAAGAAGGCCUUCGGGUUGUAAAGCACUUUUGUCCGGAAAGAAAUACUUGGCCCUAAUACGGUCGGGGGAUGACGGUACCGGAAGAAUAAGCACCGGCUAACUACGUG